UAAUUUUUGCUGAUCAAAAAGCAGAUAAUUGGUGAAUGUAUCAUGGUGUUUUUGUGCUGUGUGCACAUUUACAAUUUCCUGCCUGAUGUCAUUUUCUUAUCUGCUGAGAAUAAAUUUAUUGUUCCACCUGUUCAGUAUUAUAAUCCAUGACUGAUUCAGUCUAAGACGAUAAAACAAUAAUUUUAAUAGGGUGUUUGAAGUAAAACCUAAAUGUUCAAAUUUAGACAUCCAUAAUUGAAUCCUGAACUUUGCAUCUUUUUAUUUUUCAGAAUUCAUUUACUUAUGGAGUAAACUGGCCUACUGACCUGAAUCAUAUUGAUGGAAAGAAAGUGAAGGGACUUGAAGGGAUAUAAGUCAUUAUUGGAAUAAUAUAACCAACUUCUUGGUGAUUUAAUAAAGGUUUAUUUGAGAUGCUAAAUGUAAUAAGCCGGAAAAAUUUAUAGGAUAUUCCUUCAAUAAUCCUUUUUUCAAGGAUAAUCGUGGAAUAUUUCCUUGGGUCUGAGAUGGGCACUUUAUUCAUCUUUAGAGAGGUAAUUAAAUGUCUUUGAAUUUAUAUUUAUGUAGUACAUAAAAAAAUGAAAAAUAAAAGCUCUGAAUUACAUUUAGUGAUGACUUAGAUGACGAGACUGAGAUUUUUGGUGGAGUAGUCUAUAUAUUGACGUUCUGUCGAUUUAGAUGAUGCCAUCAAAAUCGCUUGUUUGAUUGACAAACGAGGCAUUUGUCUGAAAUUAA
rnacentral:lncRNA from 1 species